GAUGAAGAACGUAGCGAAAUGCGAUAAGUAAUGUGAAUUGCAGAAUUCAGUGAAUCAUCGAAUCUUUGAACGCACAUUGCGCCCGCCAGUAUUCUGGCGGGCAUGCCUGUUCGAGCGUCAUUACAACCCUCAGGCCCCCGGGCCUGGCGUUGGGGAUCGGCGGAAGCCCCCUGUGGGCACACGCCGUCCCUCAAAUACAGUGGCGGUCCCGCCGCAGCUUCCAUUGCGUAGUAGCUAACACCUCGCAACUGGAGAGCGGCGCGGCCAUGCCGUAAAACACCCUACUUCUGAAUGUUGACCUCGAAUCAGGUAGGAAUACCCGCUGAACUUAAGCAUAUCAAUAAGCGGAGGA
rnacentral:misc_RNA from 1 species